UACGUAGGGCGCAAGCGUUGUCCGGAAUUAUUGGGCGUAAAGAGCUCGUAGGCGGCUUGUCACGUCGGGUGUGAAAGACCGGGGCUUAACCCCGGUUCUGCAUUCGAUACGGGCUGGCUAGGGUGUGGUAGGGGAGAUCGGAAUUCCUGGUGUAGCGGUGAAAUGCGCAGAUAUCAGGAGGAACACCGGUGGCGAAGGCGGAUCUCUGGGCCAUUACUGACGCUGAGGAGCGAAAGCGUGGGGAGCGAACAGG
rnacentral:rRNA from 1 species